rnacentral:rRNA from 1 species
ACAGCAGUCGCCACGGUAAUACGAAGGGUGCAAGCGUUACUCGGAAUUACUGGGCGUAAAGCGUGCGUAGGUGGUGGUUUAAGUCCGUUGUGAAAGCCCUGGGCUCAACCUGGGAAUUGCAGUGGAUACUGGGUCACUAGAGUGUGGUAGAGGAUAGUGGAAUUUCCGGUGUAGCAGUGAAAUGCGUAGAGAUCGGAAGGAACAUCUGUGGCGAAGGCGACUAUCUGGGCCAACACUGACACUGAGGCACGAAAGCGUGGGGAGCAAACAGGAUUAGAUACCCGUGUAGUCCCUGUCUCUUAUAA